AAUUUUAUUCCCACCCAACAAAGGAAGAAAUGAAGGCUCAGAGGGGUCACCGCAUCACUCCCGUUCCCUCCACCAGGCAGGUCUAGAGUCUGGACAAUGCUCAGGGCUGUGUGUCUUGUGAGCUUGGUGAUUUCCCAAAUGAUUGUCCUUCUUCCCAGCUCCCCCAGCAGCCUAACUUCCCCCACCUUCUCUCUCCUUCCACGGCCCUUCCUAUGAAGGCCAUUCGUCAGUGCUGCUUUCAUCCGGCCACUGGCCAAGUUCUGGGGAAAGAAAGGCAGCAGGGAUGAGAGUGUGAGGAGGGGCAGGCCAUGGAGGUAUGGGAAGAUGAGAAGGGGUCUCUGAGAACAGAGAAGGAGGAGAAACCGGGGGCCAGAUCUUGGUCUCUUUUCUUCCCCAUGUCUGCUUGUGCGCCACGGCUGACAUCAGCACUCUGUUUACUUCCUCUUGUUUUCCACUGGAGGAGGGAGGACGGGCCCAGAGAGGAUGUGUCCUGCCCUGAGUGGGGGCAGGCAUGCAGUGAGCCCUCCAGAAAUGAGAGCCCAGCUGGGAAGGGAAGACUCCCCCAUGUGAAGCAAGUGGAAGGAGGCCCCAAAGUUAAUGCUGGAACAGACACUGUGAUAAUGUCUCCAGCCCCUGUUUCCCCUUCACUUCCUCGGCCUCCUGACCGACUUUGGUGCUUCCCGACAUGGCCCCGCUCAGAAUUCUGUGCCUCCUGUUUCUAGAGUGCACAGUCUGAGGGAAGGCCUUGUGAACACAUAGCAAGAUGGCACCACAUACAAGCCAUAGGCCGUGACCCCAGAAUGCAACCUACCUUGCCG